rnacentral:rRNA from 1 species
AUUGAACGCUGGCGGCAGGCUUAACACAUGCAAGUCGAGCGGGGUGAUGGUGCUUGCACUAUCACUUAGCGGCGGACGGGUGAGUAAUGCUUAGGAAUCUGCCUAUUAGUGGGGGACAACAUCUCGAAAGGGAUGCUAAUACCGCAUACGUCCUACGGGAGAAAUCAGGGGAUCACUUGUGACCUUGAGCUAAUAGACGAGCCUAAGUCGGAUUAGCCAGUUGGUGGGGUAAAGGCCUACCAAGGCGAGGAUCUGUAGCGGGUCUGAGAGGAUGAUGCGCAAGACUGGGACGAAGACACGGCCCAGACUCCUACGGGAGGCAGCAGUGGGGAAUAUUGGACAAUGGGGGGAACCGUGAUCCAGCCAUGCCGCGGGUGUGAAGAAGGCCUUAUGGUUGUAAAGCACUUUAAGCGAGGAGGAGGCUCUUUUAGUUAAUACCCAAGAUGAGUGGACGUUACUCGCAGAAUAAGCACCGGCUAACUCUGUGCCAGCCGCCGCAGUAA